GGGAAUGGCUUUGACAAUAAAAACCGCGGUUGUUCCCAGUUUCUGGUGCUGCCGUGCAUGCUGCCCGUAACACUAAAUCGCAGCAGAUCGUUCCACGCUUGCUUUCACUUCUACAUGAAGCGGAUUUUAUUUAAAUUACAAUCUAGCAUUAUAAAAAUUCCAGCAAGCAGCAGGGUCAGGCGAGGACGCGGGGAGCUGGGCUGCCUCACGGCUGCCGUGUCCUUCCCCAGCUUCUGACUGCGGCCACUUUUGCCACAAGGAGAUGCAUUGGCCUCACGUUAACAUAACUAUUGCAUUUCUUUUCCCUUUUCAGAGAGAAAAAAAAAAAAAAACAUUCAACUGUUUCACUUGCAAGGAAACAUCUGAAAAAUCCAGCACUGAGGUGCCCCAAGGGUGGCCUUGUAUGAAACACCAAGCGGGCUGUCCUUUACUGCUUUGAAAAGGGUCAUGUCACCAUGAAGUUUCAAGCCAUUGCUGAGGGGCCCAUUCCCUUCCUCCACCACUGAGGUCAAGUUCAGCCUGCACUUUAGGUGAUGGUUGAUUUUUCACAUUUGAUAUUUCUGAUGAUACAUCAAUUAUCAGCAGGUAGAAAUGCAAUCUAUUGAGAAGCACGGGUUUGAGGAAAUUGUAGCAGACAAGCUUUCAAUUUCAAAUUCACAGACUGCCUUCAAUGGCCCUACAUGGAUUUAUUCCACUGAGCUCUGGAGUUUUCCAUGAAAGUAACACCAGAGUGUUCAAACGAUGAGUGUAGGACUGCAGUGAAUGGACAACUGUCCUACAGGACUUGCAAAGUAGAUUUGCAAUGACCUGCUGCAGGAGAUAAUGCUAAUCCCUGGCAUUACCUACUGUAAAAUUUGUUCAGAUAGAUUUUAAACCAAACAGAAAAUCCCUCAGCCAGAUCACUGCAUUUCCAUCGUCCAAAUUAUGUUUCCAGGGUUCCAGCCAGCAGCCAGAGAUGGCAAGAAACAGAACAGAAAGUUUUUUGUACACUGUAAGAUGACAUUGAACACUUGCUAAGCUUCAUACUUGGUGUUGUACUCCACUACAUGAAGACCACACAUUUGAGUAGCGUUCUGCAGCCAUUAAUGAAUGAUGUUAGCAGCAGCAGUAUGGGAAAGAACAUACAGUAUAGGAAAGAAUAUUACACAUGCAGGGUAUGAUUUCUGCUGCUCAACUCUUGCUGACUAUAUCCAUGCAAGUGAUUUCAUGCUCUGCUCAAAGGCUGUCAAACAUGCACUUUUAGCUGAUAAAAUCACAUGGCCUACGUUAUCCAUCCCCUUUAGAACAUAAAGAUGAAUCAUGCUCUAGAGCUCUCUGCUUCUUUCCAUGAACGAGGAAGAUAAACAAGAUGAUGUAGGUCACAUGCAGAUGUCCACAUCUGUCAGAUAAGCUUUAUCUUUAAUGUUUUUAUGUUGCCUGUGAAAAUACAUAACAUUCAACAUUCAGUUAAAAUGUGCACUCCGUAUGGCAUAUAAAAUGUGGAGUGUUCAGUACUUUGAAAUGUACAGUACUAGUAUGUAGGAGGUGUUUUAGAUCAGCUUAGCUACCCCUGAAUAGAUAGGGAUGAAGUCACACACAUGUACGGUGAAAGCAAACUCGCAUACAGAAAACUGAUAAUAUUCUUGCUAGCCAGCACAUAAGGGACUUUUCUUACAGCCUGAUCCUUCAGGCUAUUAUGUAUGGAUCUUGUAUUCAAAUCUUAAUAGGAUUUUUUUUAUGGACAAAUAUGUCCACUACUACCAGGACACUGCUCAAUAAGUGGAGGACUUAUUCUGUAAGCAACACGGAAUUGUCACAGAAGCAACUACAAGGACAUAACCACAGAGAUUGUGACAGACAGAGUUCUACCAUGAAGUUCGGAUGGAUCUGCAGAAGCACAAGAUUUAAGAGGGCAAGCUACAAGGGUGAAGAAUGAAUCAGAAACGUGGCAAAAACAAUACAUGUGACAGACAAACAAACAAGGCUCACAUACUUCCAAAUGUUUUUUCUCAGCCUAUGGCUGUGUGAGCAGACAAUCACCUGCUGUAGGAGAGUCUCAUCCUCCCUCUGGCAUUAUCUGCUGCAACAUUUGUUCAGGAAGACUUUAAGCUGGCUCCCACAAGGACCUCAGUGCCCUUCCUUCAUCCUCUCAAAAACAGCCCUGGCUGCACUCGAGCUCAAUGGCCCUCCAUCUCUGCGAGCAGAAUUCUCUUCUGGAAGAGAAUCCACAUUUGUGGAAUGAACUGCUUGCUUUCUUUGAGUUUAUAAAACAUUUGUCAUGU
rnacentral:lncRNA from 7 species